rnacentral:misc_RNA from 1 species
GAAAUGCGAUAAGUAAUGUGAAUUGCAGAAUUCAGUGAAUCAUCGAAUCUUUGAACGCACCUUGCGCUCCUUGGUAUUCCUUGGAGCAUGCCUGUUUGAGUAUCAUGAAAUCUUCAAAGUAAAUCUUUUGUUAACUCAAUUGGUUUCUACUUUGGUAUUGGAGGUCUUUGCAGCUUCACACCUGCUCCUCUUUGUUCAUUAGCUGGAUCUCAGUGUUAUGCUUGGUUCCACUCGGCGUGAUAAGUUAUCUAUCGCUGAGGACACUGUAAAAGGUGGCCAAGGUAAAUGCAGAUGAACCGCUUCUAAUAGUCCAUUGACUUGGACAAUACUUUUAUGAUCUGAUCUCAAAUCAGGUAGGACUACCGCUGAACUUAAGC